GCCCGCCUAGCUCAAUCGGAUAGAGCGUCAGACUUUUAAUACAGUCGUUUCGGCGGGGUAAUACUUCAUCUGAAGGCUGCGAGUUCGACCCUCGCGGUGGGCU